GUUUUUACGCUUGGGACCGUUUUGGAGAUUUCGCUUGUUUGUCUGACUCUCUACCUGUGUUACUGCAUCGCAAAAAGUUUCUUGGACUCGGAAAACAGCCCGAAACUCUUGUACAAAGAUUCUCAGCUAAAUGACUACUUAUUGAGCCAGUGUAAACACCUGAAAUAUCCCUUCCGACCAACGGUUUGGGCUCAGAAUGCUCACCUACAGAGUUUUCUAGGUUUCUUUACACAGAAGAACGAUGUAUUAUACGAAAGAGAAUACCUCCAAUUAAUGGACAAGGGGAUUGUGGCGCUGGACUGGUGCAGGUGUCAAGACUACCCGCAAAAACGAACAAGUGCAAUACUUAUUGUUCUAGCGGGACAAGCAGACGAUAAAAAGGGUGUUCGGACAUUGUGUUCAGAGGCUUGUAAAAAGGGCUUCCGGGUGGUUGUGAUUAACCCCAGGGGCCAUGGAAAUAGUUACCUCUCAACUAGCAGAUUUCAAAGUUUCGGAGAUCCGAUAGAUUUGAGACAGUGCGUCAUGUAUAUCAACCGGAAGUUUCCGAAAGCGAAUAUCACCGCCGUCGGAGUCGGUUCCGGUUCCGCUGUACUUUCUCAUAUCUGGGAGAAUUCGGAUCUUCCACGCGUUUAAAGGCUGCUGUUUUUAUAUCGCCCUUAUAUGAAAUAGACGAAGAGUAUUUAAAAAGUGUCUCGAAAUUUUAUCAAUUUAUUCUACUGUGUGGACUCAAACUGACAUUAUUACGUCAUUCGAAAGCAUUGACAAAAUCAAUCGAUCUUCAGUCGGCAUUUUCUUCUUGGAGAUUACUAGAAUAUGUCGAAAAAGUUUACUGCGACCCUUUAGGAUAUUCCUCCAUGGAAGAUUUUAUCGAGAAAAACAACCCACUGAGGGAUGUGGAUGACAUUGCUAUCCCUGUCCUAUGUAUAAACAGUCAAGACGACCCCGUGUGCCCUCAGGACCACGUCCCUCUAGAUAUCUUUAAUUACUAUCCAAACAUGCUUCUAGUUUCUACCAAACACGGCGGCCAUUGUGGUUUCUGGGAGGGCCUGGUACCCCGAUCUUGGUCGGUCGACCUCUCGUUGGAGUAUUUGUUAACAGUGUUAGAUUUCACUUUGAAUAACAACAGGGAAAUACCUCGAGCAGAUGGUGCAAAAUGACUGUAUUAUUAUAUGCAUCAAUAUUAAACGGUCCAAAUUUAAAUGUACCACUUGAUUUGAUAUGCGUAUGAUGCAAUUUUCAUCACAAUAUUUAUGAUUUUCCCAACCAACUUUCAUUUUUAGAUUGUUAAUAAUUGUCGUUACAUUUUAACAAUGAAUUAUUAUUGUGGC
rnacentral:misc_RNA from 1 species